rnacentral:lncRNA from 1 species
UUUUCAGACAACCAGGGUCUCAGUGACUUAACCUCCCAUGCAACCGUUGUCAGAAAGUGAGUGGAGGAGGGACUCUACUAAAACAAGGAAGUGAACAAAGGAAAGGUGCUGUUUGGGGCAGCUGAAGAAGGGCCUCAGGUAGAUCACAGGGUAACCAGCUGGUCUCUCAGCCUUUUUUUUGAUGAUGGCUACCACUUUCUGAGAGAUGUGCCUCCCAGCCUUCAUCUUCAGGAAGUGGGAGUGAGUCAGACCAAGCAGACCUUGGGAACACCUGGCUCGCUGAGGAUUUCUGGAUUGUGUAAGGAUUGGGGUUAAAAAAGAAAAAAGGAAAUGUAUCUGAAUGUAAGCAGUAUCAUCUGUGGCGCCAUCAUCCUUGCUGGGAGGCAGCUUUGUGAACUGGUUGAAAGCACAGGCUUUGGAGUCAGACUGCUUGGAUUCCAAACCUGCCUCUCCCAUUUAAUGUCUUGGAACCUUGGUCAGGUUACUUAAUCUCUGAACCUCAGUUUCUUUAUCUGUAAAAUGGGAAUAAUAACCUCUGAGAUGGUUGCCAGGAUUAAAUGAGUGUUUGACACAGUAUCUGGCUCAUAAUAAGUGCUCAGUAAAUAUUAGCUAUUAGCUGUUAUCAUUCCCUCUUUCUGUUUUUUUCCUACUGCCUCUCCAUUCUUGUCCUUUUCUCCUUUUAUUCUUCUGAGUGCUAAGUUCUGAGAUGCCCCUUAGAUGUGAAGUCCCAGAAAUAUUGAUUGCAUCUUUGGUGGUGGGAAAGGGGUGGCCCCUCACUGGCCCAGGUGAACAUAUGAUGAUCAGAUGAUCAAGUGUCUCUUCAUCAUCUCUCAGCCCACAAAUGUGUUUUUGUUCCAGGGAAGACACAGGAUCUGCUUCUCUUUCAGCAACCAUUUCUAUAUCCUUCCCUGUCACUAGUUAAUGUCUUCGUAUUCUCGCCCAGAAAUAAAAUAAGACCCAAAGUUUUAU